GGAGCGGUGGGAGCAAGGGUUGGCCGCCGGCGAUCGGACGGCGGGCGCUCCGGUCGGGGACGAGAGCAGUUGGUCCGAGAGGUCCGGGGAUAGUGCUGGCCGAUGGCGGGCGGCAGCCGGUGGCGCGGCGGCGGAGAUCAAGCCCGCCCAGUCCUUCUCGGGUUCAAGGUUGCCGGCGGCGAGGCGGCGGCCGGGGGAGCUCGGGACGGCGACGGUUCGGUGCCGGAGGCCGAGGGGAAGGCAGUGUACCCCUCGGUGGG
rnacentral:lncRNA from 1 species